CUACCAUUUAGUGGGGAAUAACUGUUGGAAACGACAGCUAAUACCGCAUAAUAUUGCUGGAUAAUUUCCAGUAAUGAAAGGAGCUUUCAAGCUCCGCUGAUUGAUGAGGAUGCGGCGCAUUAGCUAGUUGGUAGGGUAAUGGCCUACCAAGGCAAUGAUGCGUAGCCGAUCUGAGAGGAUGAACGGCCACAUUGGGACUGAGACACGGCCCAAACUUCUACGGAAGGCAGCAGUAGGGAAUUUUUCACAAUGGGCGAAAGCCUGAUGGAGCAAUGCCGCGUGACUGAUGAAGGUCUUCGGAUUGUAAAGGUCUGUUGUAAGGGAAGAAAUGGUAAAACAGGAAAUGGUUUUAUCUAUGACGGUACCUUACCAGAAAGCCACGGCUAACUAUGUGCCAGCAGCCGCGGUAAUACAUAGGUGGCAAGCGUUAUCCGGAUUUAUUGGGCGUAAAGGGUGCGUAGACGGUUUUGCAAGUCUGAGGUUAAAUUUANGAGCUCAACUCCUAAUCGCCUUGNAAACUACAAGACUAGAGUAUAGGAGAGGNUAGUG
rnacentral:rRNA from 1 species